GGCCGCUAUUUUGUUAUAUUGCGCGGAAUUAGCUCUCAAUAAAUUAAAAACCGGAACUGCAAUUGUUUUUAUUCGGCCCCUAUCAAAAAGCUGAGAUGGGCCGAUUUCUUGAAUGGAUCGGGCUUUUAUUUCCGAGUUAUUAAGUUCUUUAGACACCAUUUGCCUGCAAGCCGCAUGGCACACCGGACAUUGAAAUCUUAUCCUUGAGUGAGCAUCUAUGAAAUUCAUGCCAACAUGGCGUUGCAUAAACCUCGGCAACCAUUCUCCUCAGAAAAAAUAUGCCUUUGCCAAUGAAUAAAAAAAGAAUAUUCAAACAUGUCAUAAGCAAAAAGAGUCAUUAGUCAAUCUUUAACUUAAAGAUGCGUUGCCAUAAGCAAACAAAAAAAAUUCAACAAUCAAAACUAAAAACAAGAAAGGAAAGCUAACUGCGGACGGAGCGGAAGUCUAUACAAUGAUAUUUUUAUUAAAUCUUUAUUGUUCGGAUAUAAGCUUAGAAGUAAAACAGCAUUCACUGACAAACUCAGCCAUGACCGUUCUUAAAGUAAAAAUGCUUACGCGGCAAAUCCGUCGCAACAAAAUUAUAAAAACAAAAAUGCUUACGCGACAAACUUGUCGAAACAAAAUUAUUUGGUUUCUUACAUUCUAGCUUGCCAACAUAUUGAUCGUGGGAAAGAAUCUUGGCAUGACUUAAAUGUAAACAAAUUUCUUAGAAUAAUUAUUUUUAUAAUAAAACGAAAGGGUGAAUAUGUCACUCCUCCCGGCAAAAUGGAACUCUA